AUGCAGUCGAACGAUGAACCACUUCGGUGGGGAUUAGUGGCGAACGGGUGAGUAACACGUGGGCAAUCUGCCCUGCACUCUGGGACAAGCCCUGGAAACGGGGUCUAAUACCGGAUAUUGACCUUCACGGGCAUCUGUGAGGUUCGAAAGCUCCGGCGGUGCAGGAUGAGCCCGCGGCCUAUCAGCUUGUUGGUGAGGUAAUGGCUCACCAAGGCGACGACGGGUAGCCGGCCUGAGAGGGCGACCGGCCACACUGGGACUGAGACACGGCCCAGACUCCUACGGGAGGCAGCAGUGGGGAAUAUUGCACAAUGGGCGAAAGCCUGAUGCAGCGACGCCGCGUGAGGGAUGACGGCCUUCGGGUUGUAAACCUCUUUCAGCAGGGAAGAAGCGAAAGUGACGGUACCUGCAGAAGAAGCGCCGGCUAACUACGUGCCAGCAGCCGCGGUAAUACGUAGGGCGCAAGCGUUGUCCGGAAUUAUUGGGCGUAAAGAGCUCGUAGGCGGCUUGUCACGUCGGUUGUGAAAGCCCGGGGCUUAACCCCGGGUCUGCAGUCGAUACGGGCAGGCUAGAGUUCGGUAGGGGAGAUCGGAAUUCCUGGUGUAGCGGUGAAAUGCGCAGAUAUCAGGAGGAACACCGGUGGCGAAGGCGGAUCUCUGGGCCGAUACUGACGCUGAGGAGCGAAAGCGUGGGGGAGCGAACAGGAUUAGAUACCCUGGUAGUCCACGCCGUAAACGGUGGGC
rnacentral:rRNA from 1 species